AAUAUUGCUGGACAGUAGCAGUUUGUUUCUAGCAGAUGUGCUUACAUCCAAAGUUGUAUUACAAUGGUUUCACUUUGCAGACAUUUCCUGUUUUAUCUUCCUUUUGUGUGUAUGUAUUGUGCUGUUGAGAGUAUUUGAAUCUUUGUUAGAUUGCAGGACAUUAAGAGUAUAAAAGUGGGAGCAAAGAAGAUGUUGACACAGGUAGUCCACUUCAUUUAUCAGACUCUGGUUGUGAGAGCUACACAGAUGUUAAAGGAGAUAGAGGCCCUGUAUGCGGAGGAGGUGGGGUGUUUGUUGGAGAGGAAGACAUCUCUGAACAGGUUGGGAGGCUGUCAGGACUACAUAUCAGUUUUUAUUGACAAGGUCCUACGCACAGAGGGCCACUGCCUCCUGGGCUACACAAAAAGAAUUGAGACCCAAGUGAAAAAGCUUCUAUCCCAGAAGGCAUGCACCCCUGAGACCAUGAUUGAACUGCAUAUUCAGAUUCAGAAUGAACUCUGUCAGCACAUCAUGAAAUGUGGAUUUUUGAGGAUUAGAAGGGUUCUUGUUCCAUUCACCUCUCAGAGAACUGGUUCCACUCAGUUAGAGUCUGAGUCUGUGAAAAGCUCAAAUCAAAAUCCCUGUGCCUCCUCUCAGACUGUGCAAAUGGACCAGGCCCUUCCUAGUCUGCCUCAUCCAUCUCAGCCCAGCCAGCCAUCUCAUUCUAACCAGGCCACAACCCGCUUUGCAUGUAACAAUGUUGCCUCAUCUCAACCGAAUCAAUCUGAACCUUCCUCUUCAGAUCAUCAAAGUUCAUUUUCUUCACCAUCUGUCCAAGUCCAGUACCAUGAAGUCAUGUCUGAGCAAACCAAGCAUGCUUACAGUCCCUCAUUGAACUGUGUCCCAUAUUUUCCCCAGUCUGCUCCUAAAACUCACAUGAAUUCUUCUCCGUCUGUUUAUUCUCAACCUCGUUUUCCACUCACAAACCUCACAGCAUCUCAAAUAAACAAUAUCUCUGAGUCAGCCAAAUGUAGGAAGGCCUGUUGCCCUACCAUGCAGGUCUCUCAUACACGCGUACUCACCCACCCAAUGCCAAUUCCAGUCAACAACCAAACACCCGUAACAACUCAUCCAGUGCCAGCCAACAACCAAACACCUGUAAUAACUUAUCCAAUGCCAGUGAACAACCAAAUACCCCUACUAACUCAUCAAAUACCAGUCAAUAACCAAACACCCCUACUAACUCAUCAAAUGCCAGUCAAUAAGCAAAGACAGCCAAUUUCAGUCAACAACCAGACACCUAUAACAAUUCAUCCAAUACCAGCCAACAGCCAAACACUUGGACUAACUCAUAUAUUGCCCGCCAACAGCCAGACACCCCUACUAACUCAUCGAAUGCCACUCAACAACCAAACACCUGUACCAACUCAUACAAUGCCCAUCAAUAACCAAACACUCGUACCAACUCAUCCAAUACCAGCCAACAACCAAACACUUGGACCGACUCAUCCAAUACCAGCGAACAACCAAACACCUGUACUAACUCAUACAAUGCCCAUCAACAACCAAACACUUGUACCAACUCAUCCAAUACCAGCCAACAACCAAACACCUGUACUAACUCGUACAAUGCCCAUCAUCUACCAAACACUCGUACCAACUCAUCCAAUACCAGCCAACAACCAAACACCUGUACUAACUCAUAUAAUGCCCAUCAACAACCAAACACUCAUACCAACUCAACCAAUAACAGCCAACAACCAAACACCUGUACUAACUCAUAUAAUGCCCAUCAACAACCAAACACUCGUACCAACUCAUCCAAUACCAGCCAACAACCAAACACUCGCAGCAACUCAUCCAAUACCAGCCAACAACCAAACACCUGUACUAACUCAUACAAUGCCCAUCAACAAUCAAACACUCGUACCAACUCAUCCAAUGCCAGCCAACAACCAAACACCCCUACUAACUCAUCAAAUGCCAGUCAAUAACCAAAAACAACCAAUUUCAGUCAACAACCAAACACCCGUAACAACUCAUCAAAUACCAGCCAACAACCAACCACCUGAACUAAUUGAAUCAAUACCAGCCAACAACCAAAUACCUGUAUUAAUUCAACCAAUUCCAGUCAACAACCAAACACCCAUACUAACCCCUCCAAUACCAGCCAACAACCAAACACCCGUAUUAAUCCAACCAAUACCAGCCAACAACCAAUCAACCUUACUUACUCAUUCUAUACCAACGUACAACCACGCACUCAUGCUGACCCAUCCAGUACAAACCAAUUUCCUGGUGCCCGGACUUUCUUUCUCUGUGCAACCCACUAUUCCCUUAACUGUCCUUUCAACAAUAAACACACUUUCUUUAAAUUAUGCUACUGCAAUCUCUAAUGUCCUUCCUGUAAACCCAAUGCCUUCUACUCCCAUUGAUGGCAACAACACCCUUCGGUGUAAGAGAGGCACCUACAAUAGCCAGAACCUCCCAGUCAAGGCCUUGACUGAUUCCGCCUGUGAUCAGGAUGCAGGUGUGAGCAGCACGGAUUUUACUGAUACAGACCAUCUGGAGAGCAACUUGCCCACCUCCCUUGUGUUGGGAGCAGCUCCCAAAGAACCUUCACUAGAUCCUGGCCGCUCCUCUGGACCAUCCAACAUUCACCAGGACUCUCUCUCCACCACCACCACCACAGAGAAAUGUUCAAGUCAAGCUCAAGACUGUCAGUCAUCCAACAAGAACAACUCUGGACCAAAACACUGGAGCAUUGGCAUGCCGAUAACUUUCCGUCAGCUUGUAGAGGCAACAUGCAUACCUUUCAGGUCAGACAAUCUGAACACAACACCUCCAGUGGAUUCAACUCCUUGUAGCACAUCAGAAGACCUUGAUGGGGAGAGGACGACUCAUGACAAGACUGUCCAAAGUAAUUUUGACUACAGGAAGGCAAAAAAAGAAGACAAAGAAUCUGCAGGUUAUUUUCUUCUCAAAAGAGUUCUCAAAAGAAUAGUGUUUGUUUUCCUCACUCAUUUCUUUUUUUCCUGUCUUUUAGUCACCCUGGAACACUUCAGGAGACAAAUCAAACAAUGC
ensembl:lncRNA